rnacentral:rRNA from 1 species
AGCGAACGCUGGCGGCAGGCUUAACACAUGCAAGUCGAGCGGGCAUCCUUGUGGUGUCAGCGGCAGACGGGUGAGUAACGCGUGGGAACGUGCCCUUCGGUUCGGAAUAACUCAGGGAAACUUGAGCUAAUACCGGAUACGUGCGAGAGCAGAAAGGUUUAUCUGCCGAAGGAUCGGCCCGCGUCUGAUUAGCUAGUUGGUGAGGUUACGGCUCACCAAGGCGACGAUCAGUAGCUGGUCUGAGAGGAUGAUCAGCCACACUGGGACUGAGACACGGCCCAACCUCCAAGGGGAGGAGGAGGGGGGAAAUAUGGAACAAGGGGGAAAACACUAAACCAGCCAUGCCGGGUGGGGAUGGAGGACUUUGGGUUUGAAAGGCUUUUUUCCCGGGGCGGAAAAAGACGGUCCAGGAGAAAGAAGCCCGGGCAAACUUCGUC